UGGUUCUGGCAUCGAUGAAGAACGCAGCGAAAUGCGAUAAGUAAUGUGAAUUGCAGAAUUCAGUGAAUCAUCGAAUCUUUGAACGCACAUUGCGCCCAUUAGUAUUCUAGUGGGCAUGCCUGUUCGAGCGUCAUUUCAACCUCUAAGCACAGCUUACUGUUGGGAAUCUACGUCUGUAGUUCCUCAAAGACAUUGGCGGAGCGGCAGUAGUCCUCUGAGCGUAGUAAUUUUUUAUCUCGCUUCUGUUAGGCGCUGUCGUCCCGGCCGUUAAACCCCCAAUUUUUUCUGGUUGACCUCGGAUCAGGUAGGAAUACCCGCUGA
rnacentral:misc_RNA from 1 species